rnacentral:tRNA from 1 species
UCCCUGGUGGCUCAGAUGGUAAAGCGUCUGUCUACAAUGCAGGAGACCCAGGUUUGAGGCCUGGAUUGGGAA